rnacentral:rRNA from 1 species
UACGUAGGGGGCAAGCGUUGUCCGGAUUUAUUGGGCGUAAAGAGCGUGUAGGCGGCCAGGUAGGUCAGCUGUGAAAACUCGAGGCUCAACCUCGAGACGCCGGUUGAAACCAUCUGGCUAGAGUCCGGAAGAGGAGAGUGGAAUUCCUGGUGUAGCGGUGAAAUGCGCAGAUAUCAGGAAGAACACCCGUGGCUAAGGCGGCUCUCUAGUACGGUACUGACGCUGAGACACGAAAGCUAGGGGAGCAAACAGG